rnacentral:tRNA from 1 species
GCACUGGUAGCUCAGUUGGAUAGAGUAGCUGGCUACGAACCAGUUGGUCGGGGGUUCGAAUCCUCUCCAGUGUACCA